AUUAAUUAAUUUUUAAUAUUAACCAUUCAUUAAUUAAUUUUGAAUGUCUAUUUUGUCAAAAUUACAUGAAAAAUCUUCAUUGAAGUUGAAAAUUCUCGGCAAAAAAGAGUAUGUUGUAUGAGAUCGAACCCCCAACCAUAUCAACCUUAUCAAUCUUGCGUUUACCAGUCCAAUACUCUCCCAACUGAGCUACUCAGCAAUUCUGAAAAUAGGAUGUUUGAAAGGGGGUUUAUCUUAUAAAAGCAUUGAAAUGAUUACCACAGUCAGUGUUGUCAACGUAAUUUUGGUUUUCCCGCACUGAUCCUCUAUAUUAUAAACUACUGACUAUUUUGUAUUGUCAAGUUGCAAAUCUGGAUGACGCAAAGUAGCACUUUGUGCACUAGUGCCGAAAAGUGAUUCUUUGCGUUCUGUAAUCAGUGCAGGAAUGGUCACUUUUCGAGGUAACUGUAGGAAAAAUUAAUUUCUUUCAAGUACAUUUUUUAAAGGGAGUGGUUUGACUGAGUGGUGCGCUAAUAACCUAUCGCUAAGAUGAGUUAAGAAUGAUGCGCCUGCUACUCCCGUUGGAAGGGUGACCGCUUGAUUCAUGAGUUGUAAAAUUGCUUCCUGGUGGUUCGAAACCCACCUAAAACUGUAGGUCUAUUCAUCUCUCAUUAUCAACCGCCUCAUUACCCACGCAUGAGCCUUGAGCUCAUGUGUACAUCACCCUCAGCAAAAAAGAAUAUUAUAUUGAAAAAAUACCUAUUAAUAUUGUUAAAGUUAAUCUAAUUUCAAAGUUUUGAAAGUGUAUCACAGACUCCACAUUGUUUGGAAUAAAGCGACAAAUUAACAAAAUAUUUACCCCCUUUCCGAUUAUAUAGUGAGGUCCACGUUAUUAUGGCAGUGGAUAAAAACAAGGGAACAGCGUUGCCGAUUCCCUGCCUUGCCACGGUAGCGGUAGUGGCAAGUACCUUCUGUAGAGGGUAGUAGAGGGUAGCUGAUACCGGCAUAUCUGAAGUAAUAUUAAAGCUGCUUUUACACCGGAGUUAAAAACACAAGUUAUUAACUUGACUGAAUCGUCAAAAAUUUCUCUUAAUAAAAAUUAAUAACUCGUAUUUUUAACAGAAAAUUCCUUGUUAUUAACAAGAUCUUGUUAUCAAUAUAAUUGACUUCCAUAUGAUUUCAUUUAACGAGAGUAAUAUUAUAUAACGAGAGUCAUUUAUAUGAUAUAACAGCCGGGAUUAAAAGCAAAAAAAAAA